rnacentral:rRNA from 1 species
CGUGUAGGCGGUUUGUUAAGUCUGAUGUGAAAGCCCCGGGCUCAACCUGGGAAGUGCAUUGGAUACUGGCAGACUUGAAUACGGGAGAGGGUAGUGGAAUUCCUGGUGUAGGAGUGAAAUCCGUAGAUAUCAGGAGGAACACCGGUGGCGAAGGCGGCUACCUGGACCGAUAUUGACGCUGAGACGCGAAAGCGUGGGGAGCAAACAGGAUUAGACACCCUGGUAGUCCACGCCGUAAACGAUGAGUACUAGGUGUUGCGGGUAUUGACCCCUGCAGUGCCGCAGCUAACGCAUUAAGUACUCCGCCUGGGAAGUACGGUCGCAAGACUAAA